rnacentral:rRNA from 1 species
CCAGACUCCUACGGGAGGCAGCAGUGGGGAAUAUUGCACAAUGGGGGAAACCCUGAUGCAGCGACGCCGCGUGAGCGAUGAAGUAUUUCGGUAUGUAAAGCUCUAUCAGCAGGGAAGAAGAUGACGGUACCUGACUAAGAAGCCCCGGCUAACUACGUGCCAGCAGCCGCGGUAAUACGUAGGGGGCAAGCGUUAUCCGGAUUUACUGGGUGUAAAGGGAGCGUAGACGGCGAUGCAAGCCAGAUGUGAAAACCAUGGGCUCAACCUAUGGCCUGCAUUUGAAACUGUAGUUCUUGAGUACUGGAGAGGCAGACGGAAUUCCUAGUGUAGCGGUGAAAUGCGUAGAUAUUAGGAGGAACACCAGUGGCGAAGGCGGUCUGCUGGACAGCAACUGACGCUGAGGCGCGAAAGCGUGGGGAGCAAACAGGAUUAGAUACCCUAGUAA